rnacentral:rRNA from 1 species
CAUGGCUCAGAACGAACGCUGGCGGCAGGCUUAACACAUGCAAGUCGAACGCCCCGCAAGGGGAGUGGCAGACGGGUGAGUAACGCGUGGGAACAUACCCUUUCCUGCGGAAUAGCUCCGGGAAACUGGAAUUAAUACCGCAUACGCCCUACGGGGGAAAGAUUUAUCGGGGAAGGAUUGGCCCGCGUUGGAUUAGCUAGUUGGUGGGGUAAAGGCCUACCAAGGCGACGAUCCAUAGCUGGUCUGAGAGGAUGAUCAGCCACAUUGGGACUGAGACACGGCCCAAACUCCUACGGGAGGCAGCAGUGGGGAAUAUUGGACAAUGGGCGCAAGCCUGAUCCAGCCAUGCCGCGUGAGUGAUGAAGGCCUUAGGGUUGUAAAGCUCUUUCACCGAUGAAGAUAAUGACGGUAGUCGGAGAAGAAGCCCCGGCUAACUUCGUGCCAGCAGCCGCGGUAAUACGAAGGGGGCUAGCGUUGUUCGGAAUUACUGGGCGUAAAGCGCACGUAGGCGGAUAUUUAAGUCAGGGGUGAAAUCCCGCAGCUCAACUGCGGAACUGCCUUUGAUACUGGGUAUCUUGAGUAUGGAAGAGGUAAGUGGAAUUCCGAGUGUAGAGGUGAAAUUCGUAGAUAUUCGGAGGAACACCAGUGGCGAAGGCGGCUUA